CCUGCGGAAGGAUCAUUACAGAGUUCCUGCCCUCACGGGUAGAAACCCCACCCUUGUGUAUAUUAUAUUGUUGCUUUAGCAGGUCGCCCUCUGGGCGUCGGCCUCGGCUGACUGUGCCUGCUAGAGGACCCUAAAUUUUGAAAUACAGUGUCGUCUGAGUACUAUUUAAUAGUUAAAACUUUCAACAACGGAUCUCUUGGUUCUGGCAUCGAUGAAGAACGCAGCGAAAUGCGAUAAGUAAUGUGAAUUGCAGAAUUCAGUGAAUCAUCGAAUCUUUGAACGCACAUUGCGCCCCUUGGUAUUCCGGGGGGCAUGCCUGUUCGAGCGUCAUUUAGACCAACUCCCGCUCCGGCGGGGUCUUGGGCUGCGCCUUUGGGCGGGCCUUAAAACCAGUGGCGGUGCCCUAAGGCUCUACGCGUAGUAAUUCUUCUCGCGAUAGGGUCCUUGCGGUGUCUUGCCAGCAACCCCCAACUCUCUAGGGUUGACCUCGGAUCAGGUAGGGAUACCCGCUGAACUUAAGCAUAUCA
rnacentral:rRNA from 1 species